UACGGGAGGGUGCAAGCGUUAUCCGGAUUCACUGGGUUUAAAGGGUGCGUAGGUGGGUCUGUAAGUCCGUGGUGAAAUCUCCAAGCUUAACUUGGAAACUGCCAUGGAUACUAUAGGUCUUGAAUACCGUGGAGGUCAGCGGAAUAUGUCAUGUAGCGGUGAAAUGCUUAGAUAAUGACAUAGAACACCAAUUGCGAAGGCAGCUGGCUACGCGAAUAUUGACACUGAUGCACGAAGCGUGGGAAUCAAAGCGGAGUACGAAACCCG
rnacentral:rRNA from 1 species